AUACUUACCUGGAUGGGGUCUAUGGGUGAUCAUAAAGGUCCAUGGCCUAAGUUGGCAACCUCCAUUGCACUCAGGAGGGGUGCCCGCUUAAGGUCUCCCUACGUGGGAGAGCCUACAUCAUAAUUUGUGGUAGAGGGGGCCUGCGUCCGCGCGGCCCCUA
rnacentral:snRNA from 1 species